rnacentral:rRNA from 1 species
UUCGCAAUGCCCGAAAGGGUGACGAAGCGACGCCGCGUGUGGGAAGAAGGCCUUCGGGUUGUAAACCACUGUCGGGAGUUAAGAAAUGCAAGGAUAUUAAUAGUGUCUUUGUUUGACUAAGGCUCCGGAGGAAGCCACGGCUAACUCUGUGCCAGCAGCCGCGGUAAUACAGAGGCGGCAAGCGUUGUUCGGAAUUAUUGGGCGUAAAGAGCACGUAGGCGGCUAUGUAAGUCGGUUGUGAAAGCCUUCCACUCAACGGAAGAACAGCAUCCGAUACUACAUGGCUUGAGUGCGGGAGGGGAGAGUGGAACUUCUGGUGGAGCGGUGAAAUGCGUAGAUAUCAGAAGGAACGCCGGCGGCGAAAGCGGCUCUCUGGCCCAUAACUGACGCUGAGUGUGCGAAAGCUAGGGGAGCAAACGGGAUUAGAUACCCCGGUAGUCCUAGCCGUAAACGAUGGGCACUAAGUAGAGGGGUUUU